GAUGAACGCUGGCGGCGUGCCUAAUACAUGCAAGUCGAGCGAACGGACGAGAAGCUUGCUUCUCUGAUGUUAGCGGCGGACGGGUGAGUAACACGUGGAUAACCUACCUAUAAGACUGGGAUAACUUCGGGAAACCGGAGCUAAUACCGGAUGAUAUUUUGAACCGCAUGGUUCAAAAGUGAAAGACGGUCUUGCUGUCACUUAUAGAUGGAUCCGCGCUGCAUUAGCUAGUUGGUAAGGUAACGGCUUACCAAGGCAACGAUGCAUAGCCGACCUGAGAGGGUAGUCGGCCACAUUAGAACUGAGAACCGGUCCGGACUCCAACAGGAGGCGACAGUAGGAGAACUUCCGGAAUGGUCGAAAGGCUGACGGGGCAACGUCGAGCGAGUGAUGAAGGUCUUCGAAUCGUAAAACUCUGUUAGUAGAGAGGAACAUAUGUGUAAGUAAAUGUGCACAUCUUGACGGUACCUAAUCAGAAAGCAACGGCUAGCUGCGUG
rnacentral:rRNA from 1 species